rnacentral:rRNA from 1 species
GUGAACGCUGGCGGUAGGCCUAACCCCUGCAAGUCGAACGGCAGCACAGUAAGAGCUUGCUCUUACGGGUGGCGAGUGGCGGACGGGUGAGGAAUACAUCGGAAUCUACUUUUUCGUGGGGGACAACGUAGGGAAACUUACGCUAAUACCGCAUACGACCUACGGGUGAAAGCAGGGGAUCUUCGGACCUUGCGCGAUUGAAUGAGCCGAUGUCGGAUUAGCUAGUUGGCGGGGUAAAGGCCCACCAAGGCGACGAUCCGUAGCUGGUCUGAGAGGAUGAUCAGCCACACUGGAACUGAGACACGGUCCAGACUCCUACGGGAGGCAGCAGUGGGGAAUAUUGGACAAUGGGCGCAAGCCUGAUCCAGCCAUACCGCGUGGGUGAAGAAGGCCUUCGGGUUGUAAAGCCCUUUUGUUGGGAAAGAAAAGCAGCAGGUUAAUACCCCGCUGUUCUGACGGUACCCAAAGAAUAAGCACCGGCUAACUUCGUG